UACGUAGGGGGCAAGCGUUGUCCGGAAUCAUUGGGCGUAAAGCGCGUGUAGGCGGUUCGGUAAGUCCGCUGUGAAAGUCGGGGGCUCAACCCUCGGAUGCCGGUGGAUACUGUCGGACUAGAGUACGGAAGAGGCGAGUGGAAUUCCUGGUGUAGCGGUGAAAUGCGCAGAUAUCAGGAGGAACACCGGUGGCGAAGGCGGGUCUCUGGGCCGAUACUGACGCUGAGGAGCGAAAGCGUGGGGAGCAAACAGG
rnacentral:rRNA from 1 species